ACAUAUUUUUGAGGAUUUCUAUCCCAAGAAGAUCGAUGUACAAUGGAAAGUGAAUAAUACCAACAGCAUGAGCCAGCUAAAACUGGAAAGCAAACUGAAUGAUACAGGUCAUUACACAGCAUACAGUUUUUAUGAAGUCAGCAGAGAGAAUUCGGAUGUGAAUACUCAGUAUACCUGUGAGGUCACACACCGGGGAAAACAGUUUACCACAACAGCAUACUUCAAAGCUAAAUUUGCACUGACACUGAAGCCACCAAUUCAGAGAGAAAUAUUUGUAAAAAAUGAAGUUGUCUUGGAAGCUGUUGUUUCUGGAGAUAUAAAAGAUACAGUGGAAAAAGCUUGCCAUGCUCAGUGAAAGAAGCUAGAAUCGAUGUGAAACCAGGAACAGUCAAGUUUUCUAAUGACAUUUCACAGUCUAUAAAAAAACACAAUGUCACUGUUGACACAAAGAAAUGGUUUGAUGGUGAAAUGGUCACCUGCACCACCAGUGACACAAAUAAUAACAGAGACAUCAAGCAGACGAUCCGUUUUCAUAAAGGAGAUGAAAAGAAACCAAGUGUUACCAUUUACAAACCUGAUAGUAACGUCACAGAUCCUGUCUC